AUAACAUUUAAUAAUUUUAGCAUAAAAUAUCUCAGUACAGAUAUGUAGUUCAUAAUGAAAAAAUUAUCAGCAGAAUAAUAGUUUCUAGUUAGAAUUAUUUCGUAUCACGUGUCCAGAUUAUCAAGCUAAAGCUUGACAUUAACCUAAACAAACGAUAUUAACCUAAUCGCUAGAACAGCAAUUUAAAAAAUAUGGAAUGAUAUGAUAUGAUAUGAUAUGAUAGAUAUGAUAUGAUAUAAAAAUUAUGGUAUUAUUAUUGAUUUUUUAUUUAGAAUAACAAAAUACAAAGGAAUACAAAUUUCGUUCUAUCGAUUCUCGUGCUCGUUUCACAAUUUUAUCUUGAUUAUUGAUAAUCGUCAAAGAUAUUUCCUCUCUUUUCACGCUAUUUGAAAUUCAUUGCAGUAAUUCAUCGUCUGUCUUACAUAUAUUUCUUAUUUUGUUGCAGUAACAGUCAUUUAAUUAUUGCACUAUUUCGUACGAAGCGCUACGAUUCUGAUUUAAACAUUUUUCCGGGGUUUGAAUCUUUGUAUGUCCUCCGACUGAUUUUGAAAUUUCUACGUUAUCUAAAUCUCUACAUUGCUCUUCAAAAGGAAGACGGACGGUUUGAAGUUUGUGUUACGGCAUCAUUGCGAAGCUAAAUUGGAAAAAAAUUUCAGGCACUUUAUGAUUUCGAAAAUCAUACACUUGGAAAUAGCGAUACGAGAUAUCAAGAAGAGCGUCAAGCAAAUAUCAGAAAAAUUGUCACUUGAUUUAUUCGACAAGAAAGAAAAAGAAAACAUUGAUACGUUGAAAGAUUUCCGUUGAAAGAACAACACAAAUUGGAUAUUUUAGAACGGAAGUUACAAAAUGACACAAGUUUUCGAGACGAAAUGAUUAAGCAAUUGACACGUAUUCGCAGUGAUUUAAUGAGAAGCACUUCUGUUCGAAUAAUGAAACUUAUUUUGUCAAACAAACUAGCUGUAAAAUAUAGUUGGUUUGGAGCCAAAAAGAAACAAAGCUUUUCUUCUUUAAAUUUAUGCAAAGUUGUUAUGACUGUGCUACGAAAAACACAUCCAGAUGCUUCUGAUGACCAGAUCUCAGAUCCAAUCAAGAUCUGGUUAGCCCAUGCUAAAAAACGUCUCGACAGGCAACGAUAACAUGACAAUGCAAAUAACGCAGAAGAAGACACAGAAUAAAUGAAUUUUAUCACUGCAUAAUAAUGAAAUGAGCAAUAUUUUAAUGCAAUAAUAGUACAAAAACGAGACUAAAUGCUGCCACAGUAAUCAUUAUUAGCAUAGGUAUGUUUUGAUGCGUACAUUAAUUACAAUAUUAAAUGUAAUUUUUACGCUAUCAAUAACGCUGUGUUAUUAAAUUGUUUUGACAGCGCUCAUUUAUAGUUGAUCAAUUCUUGAUCUCCUUCGAGCUAUAUAAGUAUAUAUGAAUUUAUACGUAAAUCGUAAGCAAAGUUGUACGCUUUUUUUUAAGACGGAUCUAAGUUGUGUUACUAAGUUGUUAGAAAUUCUUUUGACAGCGCUCAAUUUUAGUUUAUCCAAUUGUUAGUCUCCUUCGAGCCAUAUAAGUAUAUAUGAAUUUAUACGUAAAUCGUAAGCAAAGUUGUACGCUUUUUUUAAGACGGAUCUAAGCUGUGUUACUAAGUUGUUAGAAAUUCUUUUGACAGCGCUCAAUUAUAUAAUAGUUUAUCAAUUAAGUCUCCUUCAAGCCACAAGUAUAUAUAUAAAUUUAUAAAUUGUAAGCAAACUGUGGUGUAAAAUGCUACUAACAUCAUUUAUUGAUGAUAAUUAUUCAGCGACAUAAUUAUGUUUUCGAUGGUGUAACAUUGCUAAUAAUAAUUUUAUAAUUAAUUCUGUUGGCUCAAGCUGCGUCAAAAUUGAAAUAAAUAUAUAUUAUACAUAAAAUAAAGUGUACAUUAAUAUUUAACCCAACUUAGCCUACAAAU